UCCGUUUGAUCCCGCCGGAGUUACUGCUAUCGAGGUUCGACUAAGCCAUGCGAGUCGAAUGUAGCAAUACAUGGCGUACUGCUCAGUAACACGUGGACAACCUACCCUUAGGUCGGGGAUAAACCCGGGAAACUGGGUAUAAUACCCGAUAGUCCUCGGAUGCUGGAAUGCACCGAGGUCUAAAGCUCCGGCGCCUAAGGAUGGGUCUGCGGCCUAUCAGGUAGUAGUGGGUGUAGCGUACCUACUAGCCUACGACGGGUACGGGUUGUGAGAGCAAGAGCCCGGAGAUGGAUUCUGAGACACGAAUCCAGGCCCUACGGGGUGCAGCAGGCGCGAAAACUUUACAAUGCUGGAAACAGCGAUAAGGGGACCUCGAGUGCCAGGUUACAAAUCUGGCUGUCGUGAUGCCUAAAAAGCAUUGCAUAGCAAGGGCCGGGCAAGACCGGUGCCAGCCGCCGCGGUGACACCGGCGGCUCGAGUGGUAACCGCUAUUAUUGGGUCUAAAGGGUCUGUAGCCGGCCGGAUAAGUCUUUUGGGAAAUCUGGCAGCUUAACUGUCAGGCUUUCAGAGGAUACUGUCUGGCUCGAGGCCGGGAGAGGUGAGAGGUACUUCAGGGGUAGGGGUGAAAUCUUGUAAUCCUUGAAGGACCACCAGUGGCGAAGGCGUCUCACCAGAGCGGACCUGACGGCAAGGGAC
rnacentral:rRNA from 1 species